rnacentral:rRNA from 1 species
ACGCGCCAAACCUUACCUGGUCUUGACAUGUACGGAAUCCUCCAGAGACGGAGGAGUGCCUUCGGGAGCCGUAACACAGGUGCUGCAUGGCUGUCGUCAGCUCGUGUCGUGAGAUGUUGGGUUAAGUCCCGCAACGAGCGCAACCCUUGUCAUUAGUUGCCAUCAUUAAGUUGGGCACUCUAAUGAGACUGCCGGUGACAAGCCGGAGGAAGGUGGGAUGACGUCAAGUCCUCAUGGCCCUUAUGACCAG